GGACGCUUCAAAGUUAGUAUUUUCUAAGUUUUCCUUGUACGUAAAAUUCCGACAGACUGUUUCGCGUAUAUGGAUUGAUUUGAUGAUAUAAUUAAUAAUAUAUAGUUGAAUUAAAUUAGGACUCCAAUUCUUUUGGUGUGGCCACAAGAAUACAUAUCAGUGCAAGCAGUCUCCUUGACAGAAAUUUGAGAAUAUUCAGUUUCUUUCUACCCCGUAAUUAUCUAUAAUCUUCUAUUCAGUUUUCUUGCGCCCCGUCCCUUCAUAAGAUUAAGAAUACUUCAACCCUCCAAUGGCCUCAAAUUAAUUCAUUAGUUGUUGAUUUAAGGCUUCAAAAUUCUUGAUUCUAUUGUGAAUUUGAGAUUGAUUGCCGUCCAGGUAUUGUUUGCCUUCCCAACCUUACUUCAGUUUCUAGGGAUUUAUUUUUCCCCAAAAUUUUCAUCUUUUGUUUCUAUUCCUUGUUAGUUUAAUAUGUUGAUUCGAUUUAUCUAUUAAAAUUGGGUAUUUAGCUUAUUUUGGUAAUACCUUAGCUGUUGUAUGUACUUGGACUUUCUUCUCAAUUUUUCGUAUUAUUUUGCCUCGUUUCUUACUUAUUAAGCCCCCGUUUGGCCCCUUUUUUGAAAUGAAAAAGGGUGGAAUAUUGUUUUUUAUUUUUAAAUGAGUGGUUGAAAAAAAAUAAAAAGUUUUUGAUUUACAUGGAAUCUUAUUUUAUGGAAUAUUUUGUGGAUGAAAAUGGUAGAGAGAAAAAUGAAACGAAAUUUAAUCGGACCAAACGGGGGCUAAGAUCCCCUUUCGCUCUGCUUUGUAUACAACGCUCAUUCUGUUAUUUUGCUAAGUGUUUCCUUCCUUUGUGAUUGAGUUAUAUGUGUGUAACUUCACUUCUGAUUUAACAUUUCUAGAACAAUAUGUUGGGUGGCUUCCUUCAUUACCUAUUUUUUGAUCUUUUGAGUCUACCCUUUAUCUAUUUGUGGUAAUUUAUAAUCUGAAUUAGUUUCAUUGAUGUAUUCAGAACACAAAGAUGGCAUCUUGUAUGGAUCAAAGCUAUUUUGUAAUAUUGGUGUAUUUGCUUAGUGAAUUUAUAGGAUUAGGAAAAACUUAUUGUCAAGUCUUGCUGUAAAAGGUAACUUAGAAAAACACUGAAUUUUAUCUCAUAUCCUUUCUUGAAUUAAAUUGACGAAAACCCUCAUGGGCUGCAAUGACCAAUGCAGUCAUUUUUUGGUCGCUCUCUUUGUGGGAUGGUUUAACGAUGCUCACUUUAGAUCUUACGUGGAUUAUGUACAGUUUGUUUCGACGGAAAAUGAUUCUGCAUUGAAAUUUAUGUGUAGAAUGAGACUACAUUUGAUAAGCACACUUCUCUAUUUAAGCCACGCAUUCUUAUUCCUUGGAGCUAAUUCUCUCUUCAAUGACUUCCAUCUUUGAUCAACUGGAUUCUGCAUGGGUUUUCUGAGAGCACAGUUUGAUUAAGUUUUGAAGCAUUGUGUUUGUCUUAUUUUUGGUUACUUCACUUUACUGCAUUUGAGUCUUCAUUAUGUUCUUCCCAGAGUUGAAGGAACUGUUUGCCGGAGUGCUAGUUUUAGUGUGUCUAUUUAGCUCUUGCAUAUAUUAGCUUUUGAUGAGAUUCCUUCUACUUGUGGUUUCUGUUUGAUGGUUAAAGGCAGAUAUUGUUAAUUGAGUUCACUAUAGCAGUUUUUCUUCUGAGG
rnacentral:lncRNA from 1 species